UACGGGGGGGGCAAGCGUUGUUCGGAAUUACUGGGCGUAAAGGGUUUGUAGGUGGCUUAUUAAGUCAGACGUGAAAUCCCUCAGCUUAACUGGGGAACUGCGUCUGAUACUGGUUGGCUCGAGUGCAGGAGAGGAACGCGGAAUUCCAGGUGUAGCGGUGAAAUGCGUAGAUAUCUGGAGGAACACCGGUGGCGAAGGCGGCGUUCUGGACUGCAACUGACACUGAAAAACGAAAGCCAGGGGAGCAAACGGG
rnacentral:rRNA from 1 species